CUUGGUCAUUUAGAGGAAGUAAAAGUCGUAACAAGGUCUCCGUUGGUGAACCAGCGGAGGGAUCAUUACCGAGUUUACAACUCCCAAACCCCUGUGAACAUACCUAUACGUUGCCUCGGCGGAUCAGCCCGCGCCCCGUAAAACGGGACGGCCCGCCCGAGGACCCUAAACUCUGUUUUUAGUGGAACUUCUGAGUAAAACAAACAAAUAAAUCAAAACUUUCAACAACGGAUCUCUUGGUUCUGGCAUCGAUGAAGAACGCAGCAAAAUGCGAUAAGUAAUGUGAAUUGCAGAAUUCAGUGAAUCAUCGAAUCUUUGAACGCACAUUGCGCCCGCCAGUAUUCUGGCGGGCAUGCCUGUUCGAGCGUCAUUUCAACCCUCAAGCUCAGCUUGGUGUUGGGACUCGCGGUAACCCGCGUUCCCCAAAUCGAUUGGCGGUCACGUCAAGCUUCCAUAGCGUAGUAAUCAUACACCUCGUUACUGGUAAUCGUCGCGGCCACGCCGUUAAACCCCAACUUCUGAAUGUUGACCUCGGAUCAGGUAGGAAUACCCGCUGAACUUAAGCAUAUCAAUAA
rnacentral:rRNA from 1 species